rnacentral:rRNA from 1 species
UCCCAUAAACCGUGGCUCAGUUCAGAUCGUAGGCUGCAACUCGCCUACGUGAAGUAGGAAUCGCUAGUAAUCGCAGGUCAGCAUACUGCGGUGAAUACGUUCCCGGGCCUUGUACACACCGCCCGUCACACCAUGGAAGUUGGCCAUGCCCGAAGUCGUUACUCCAACCCUUGUGGAGGAGGACGCCGAAGGUGGGGCUAAUGACUGGGGUGAAGUCGUAACAAGGUAGCCGUACCGGAAGGUGCGGCUGGAUCACCUCCUAG